CGGCAAGCUUGCUUUGAAUAUGGAGUGGAGAAUUUGAGCUCUGUCUUUACACACUGGGGUACCAUUUGUGUUUUCUGAGGAAAGGGGUAAUAAAAUCAGAGCCGGGCCAUAACAGCCUUUAUCAGAUAAUGGUCCAGAGGAUGUCUUUAAGGAGGGGCAGACCCCAGUGUGGAGACCAGUUAGACAAGAGGUGGGGACAUACGGUGGGGAGAUAUGUUGAGAAGGAGCAAACUGACAGGAUUAAUAACUGAUGAUAUGAGAGGGAAUGAAGGAGAAGCCAAGAUGGCGCCAUACUUCACUUGCCUCAGUGGAGAGAGGGAGACUCAGAGGUGGAAGAUAUUUGGGGCUGAGAAUGGAAAAAAAAAGGCCCACCGGAAUGCUGGAGUUGCUGCUUGCAGAACUUAUAAAAAGAAAUGGAUCUAAGUGGUACAAGGGAUGGACCAUAACAGAUGCUGUGAUAUGCCAUCUGGCUCAUGCUUCAAGACCAAAGGACUUAUUCCCCCAAGUUCCUGGGAGUUCUGCUGGUCAUUGACCUUCAGCAAUCAGCACUUUUUUUGACGUGGGACCUCCAGGCUUCCUCCACAGACUAGACUGGAGAACACGAGACAGGUAUUCCCAGCCCAGAGUGAUGGCUAAAUGCUUGUGCAUGUUUCCUGUGCUGAGAUCCUUCAUUAGCCCAG
rnacentral:lncRNA from 1 species